GAGCUAAGCUAUAAUAUACAUUUCAGAUUUCGGAUUUAUUCGCGCUGCAUGUCUCUUUGACUUUUGUUGGUGGAGACAAGAGACAGUUGACAAUUCCUGACUGUAAAUUGUCAGAUUUUUGGUUUGAUUGUUGUUUUUUUGCCAAAAACUUUUUGGUUAACUUAUUACUUAUUUAUUUUUAGAGGUGAUAAUACAUAUUUUUAUAUAAAUAUAACUAAAUCUUACAUUUUUUUAGUGGUAAAAAUAAGAUAAAAAAAUGAGUGAUCAUUUUACAUCCAUCCAGCGAUGAGAAUUUAGAAGGAAUUGACACUUAGGGAGUACCAAAAAAUUUAGAUUAUUUUGAGGAAACUGUGCCUUUGUUCGAUGGCGAUAAGUAUGUCCUGGAACAUUUUGGCAUCAUCAGAGUAAAAGUAGUAGAGAUGUUACAGGUCCAUUCAACACAUC
rnacentral:lncRNA from 1 species